UACGUAGGUGGCAAGCGUUGUCCGGAUUUACUGGGCGUAAAGAGCGCGCAGGCGGUCGAAUAAGUCGAAUGUGAAAGCCCCCGGCUUAACUGGGGAGGGUCAUUCGAUACUGCUCGACUUGAAGGCAGGAGAGGGUAGUGGAAUUCCCGGUGUAGUGGUGAAAUGCGUAGAUAUCGGGAGGAACACCAGUGGCGAAGGCGACUUCCUGGCCUGUUCUUGACGCUGAGGCGCGAAAGCUAGGGUAGCAAACGGG
rnacentral:rRNA from 1 species